rnacentral:rRNA from 1 species
CCUACGGGAGGCAGCAGUCGAGAAUCAUUCACAAUGGGGGAAACCCUGAUGGUGCGACGCCGCGUGGGGGAAUGAAGGCCUUCGGAUUGUAAACCCCUGUCAUGUGGGAGCAAAUUAAAAAGAUAGUACCACUAGAGGAAGAGACGGCUAACUCGGUGCCAGCAGCCGCGGUAAUACAGAGGUCUCAAGCGUUGUUCGGAAUCACUGGGCGUAAAGCGUGCGUAGGCUGUUUCGUAAGUCGUGUGUGAAAGGCGCGGGCUCAACCCGCGGACGGCACAUGAUACUGCGAGACUAGAGUAAUGGAGGGGGAACCGGAAUUCUCGGUGUAGCAGUGAAAUGCGUAGAUAUCGAGAGGAACACUCGUGGCGAAGGCGGGUUCCUGGACAUUAACUGACGCUGAGGCACGAAGGCCAGGGGAGCGAAAGGGAUUAGAUACCCUUGUAGUC